ensembl:lncRNA
GGGAGGGGGAAAAGCAGGAGGAUUUUGAAGGAAGGAGGAGGGGGGAGCAGCUGAGAGAGAGAGAGAGAGAGAGAGAGAUGAAGCCAGGGGAGGGGGGGAGGAGAGGCACCACAGAUUACAACCAGCCACGUACAGGAGCGGGCGCCACGGCAGCGUGGAGGACGGGGAAAAAAGAAUAACAGCUCUGGCGACCUUCUACUCUCCUUCUGUGUCGGUCGAGGGAACAAAGAGGAAGAGGGAGAGGAAGAGGGAGAAGAAGAGGGAGAGGAAGAGGGGGGAAGCGCUGCGUUUCAGAGGACGGCGCUGUGACAGCAGAGGAGGACGAGGUGAUGUGUGUGUGCAGCGCGCUGGUUUGUAACACACCAGCAACACUACGGGUGGGUGUGUUUUAAGGAACCCUCCCGCCCUCAUCUUACCAAGAAGCCUGACCCGAGGUUACGCAAGCCAUGCUGAGGACCCGGAGACAGUCCUGCUAAACACCAUGACUCAGGUGAAAGGACGGAAAGGACUGUGUGGGCUUUGCUCGACGUAUAGAGGCUCCGCUGUGUGACUCACUGAAGUGACUCAGACUGAGCUGACAGCUCGGCUGCCCUCGGGCCUUCGCUCAACUACUCUGCACCGGCCACUGGUGCUCGGGAUGAGCAGCGCGUGUCCCGGCCUCGGAGAGCUGGCCAGAACCAACGCCACGAAAGCAUCCACAGGGAGGCACAGAGGGGGGGUUUGUGAGAGACUUUUGUUGGUUUGCUUUUCAAAUACCAGACACUCCCAUGACUGAUACUGGGACCCGCGACCACUGAACUAACAACCACGGAAUCGAAUCCCCACAAAAUACGGCAUUAUUUAUAAAGUUCUUAAGUUAGAUUAGCCACAAGAGGUCCUAGUUAGGGUGACCUGAUAGUUCACCUCACUCUUACAGUCCAGUAGUUACAAUAAUAUCCUGCUUUGUACACGUUAAAGUUUAAACCACUGAGGCACAAACAAACUCUAGAAGAAUGAUGGAGUGAGACACAAAAGCGUUGCUGGCUGUUCUUACAUCCGGGCCUGUAAUCGACAUCCCAGCGCCGGACCCGACUGUUAUCAGCAC